CUGUGGCGGCGAAUGCGCCACUGUGUUUUGCACUGUGUGGAUUCCGUGCGGUGUCGGUCCGAGGGGCUGAAUUUCGGUGAAUUUGAUAGCAAUUGAUUUGAAUUUUGCUCAGAUGGGUUGUGAAUUUAUAUUCAGCAAGUGUCACAAACAUGGAAAGGCAAGUUUACAAAGGGCAGGAGACUUAGAAAGGCUUCAAUUGACAUAGCCGAAGAGAGGCGAGAAGCCGACCGACUCCAAACGAUGCCCAGUGCAAUCAUGCUUCUGGUGCGGAGUUGUCAGGAUGGAGUCCGAGGAAUCAAAGAAGGCAGAGGACCUGCGUAUGAAGGAACCAGCCCUGCGGAUGAAGUUCUGAGGUGCAUACAGAGGGAUCCCACUGAAAGACCAGGUGCAAUGCUGCAUUGAUAAGAUCCAGAUUCAAGAGCAUGGAUGCUACGAGAUCCUGUGAUUUGAAGUUACCAGUGUCACUGCUGCUACAAAUGACAUCAGCAACACUUCCUUUGGUGAAAGUUUAGAGGAGCAAACAGUUGAUGCUCUGUGUAGUCAAGCAGUGGAGUUUUGCCACAAUCAUGAAGCUGAUUAAAGGGACCCUCCCACCUUAACAUUAGAUUUGAGUUGAGAUAGCCAAAAUGGGGUCCCUGGCUCACAAUUUUCGGUUUCGGCACUCACAACAUCGAGAAAUGCCUUAAAUCGGAAAUAUUGAAUUUCAAAAUUGCAGCAUUUUGAUUCAGAGGGGCUAAUGCUUAGGAAUACCCCUCUGAAUGUGUGACGUCAGCGCAAAUAUCUAACGAUUUUUAAAUGUUUGACUAAAACGUUUUGUAGCACGCGGUGGUAUAUGCUAUUUGCGCGCAACAUCUGCCGCAAACGCCGCACUUCUAAAAUAAAGUCGCUAGAAACAGCGGAGAUCCCAAAAAAGUAAACAAAAGUAAAAGUCUAAUAUCUUGAAAACCGGUGAAUAUUUUUCGGUGAAAUUUGGUAGAUAUUCGUUUUCGCUCUUUCUGAACCGAGCGACAUCACUUUCAUGCCAAUUCAUAAACUUUUUUGAAGGUGGGAGGGUCCCUUUAAGGUGUCAAUAUUUUGCUCUGGCUUCUGGGACACCUUGGAUCUACAUUGCAACCUAUGCUAGUGUUCAACAUUUCGUGUCAUAGUAUCACUGAUGCAAAGCGUGUUGCAUCAUACACAAAUGAGAGCUAACAAAUUGUCAGAUAUUUUCUAGUGAUGAGAACUGAAUGCCUUAAGCAAUUGUUGAAGGUGAUAAGUGGUGAAUGGUAGGGCUCAGCCACUCAGCUCCUUCCUUCAAAAGCUAUCAAUCAGCUCUAGAAGAGUAGUCAUAGCAAUGCUUCAUAUGUGAAGGCUACUUGCCUGAACAGAACAUUGUGGAUUUGUUAAUUAAGUACCUCUUUAUUACAAGUUUGUGCCCAUUACAAGCCGAGCUUAGUUUACUUAGUUUGUUGUAAGUUUUCCAGGCAGCCUUCACACUUGUGUCGCUGAAUAUUAAACUUUAACUGAUAGACCGACGAGAUAUUGUCCCUCAUCAGAUUGUAAUCAGUCAGUCGUGUUGGUAGAAGGUACAUCUGUCUUAAAAGUACCGCGGAAAGUGACGGUGGAUCCAUCAAGCCUGACCGAGGAUGUCAUAUAGAGCCACGCAGAAAUGGCCGGUGAUUCUUUGCCCAUCAUUACAGAAUGAACGCACGCCGGAUGAAGGGUUAAGUCAAUAGUCUACAAACUACAGGGAUGUGAUUGACUUAUCUGACAGUGACGGGCGCUAGAGGUCAACUUAAGUCCGUAGGUAUGCGUUCUUGUCAUGGAAUGUGUGCUGUAAAUCGAUUGUUUCAUGCGUGUGAAUAUAUGUCUGAAUGUAA
rnacentral:lncRNA from 1 species